CCCCAGGUAGCUCAAUGGUCAGAGUGGCGGACUGCCAAUCCUCUGGGUCCGGGUUCGAUUCCCGGCUGGGUCGGGGA